GACGGAGGAUGCAAGCGUUAUCCGGAAUUAUUGGGCGUAAAGCGUCCGCAGGUGGCAUUUCAAGUCUGCUGUCAAAGCGCAGAGCUUAACUCUGUAACGGCGGUGGAAACUGGAAAGCUAGAGUAUGGUAGGGGUAGAGGGAAUUCCCGGUGUAGCGGUGAAAUGCGUAGAUAUCGGGAAGAACACCAGUGGCGAAAGCAGGCAUCUGGGCCAUCACUGACGCUGAGACGCGAAAGCGUGGGGAGCAAACAGG
rnacentral:rRNA from 1 species